GAUGAAGAACGUAGUGAAAUGCGAUAAGUAAUGUGAAUUGCAGAAUCUCGUGAAUCAUCGAAUCUUUGAACGCACAUUGCGCCCUAUGGUAUUCCGUAGGGCAUGCCUGUCUGAGCGUCAACUCCCACCCUCUCAAGUCUUCUUUUUUGUUAAGGAGAUUUGGAUUACUUUGAGGAAGUAUCGUUUUUUUUUUUUAUAAUGCUACUCCUCAGAAAUUCAUAGGCAGUAUGGUCAAACCUGAACCAGGCGUAAUAAUUCUAUAAAAAUCGUCUAUGAAGGAAUGUCUGUAUUAGCCUUUAACCCCCCCUAAUUUAUUUUACUUGGGUGACCUCAGAUCAGGUAGGGAUACCCGCUGAACUUAAGCAUAUCAAUAAGCGGAGGA
rnacentral:misc_RNA from 1 species